GAUGGACGUGGUUUCCUCUUUUGCUGCCUUGUGGGACUGCAGCUGUCAAAGUGUUCAGGGUGUGCUCCUCUGUUUACCCUCAGCUCUCUGUGCAAACACAACGGACCUGAAGAAACGUACACGCACCCAGUAGUAGGACUUUGAUUCUUUUUUAAAUUAAAUGGUGCAUUUUUUCUCGCAUUGGGAUCAUUUACAGUUUUGUUUUCUAGCACUAUCUGCACACUGUUAUUUGGCUCACAGUGUUUGGUGAACUUUAUCCUCUCCUUAUCAUGCUCACUGGUUAUCUGCUCCUGUUGUGAGUUUCCCAUGAAAUGAUGUGGCAGCUGUGAAUGCACUUUGACUGGCAUGUGUGAGCUGAGUUGAGGGGUCACCAUGGAUCACAGAGGUCACCAUGGGCCCGACUCCGGCCGCCACUCCCACAGAACUAAAGGCAGAGAGGCGAAGUCCAGGUAUUCUCAGCAGGAACGGGACCAGAACUACCCACCAGCUGACCCCAGAGACAGGGACAGGCACUGGGGCCAUCCCGAUCCCCGCUACCAGCCUCAUUUCACCAGCCCUCCUCCUCCCAGAGCUGAGCAGUAUCCUUACAGCUCUCAGCAGCACUCCUACGGCUAUGGACGACCAGAACACCAAAGACCUCAGUCCAGACAUGGGUACGACUAUUCCCCCCACAGCCACUGGGACUACAGAGACAACUACGGUUACU
ensembl:lncRNA